rnacentral:rRNA from 1 species
UACGUAGGGUGCAAGCGUUGUCCGGAAUUAUUGGGCGUAAAGAGCUCGUAGGCGGCUUGUCGCGUCUGCUGUGAAAUCCCGGGGCUCAACCCCGGGCCUGCAGUGGGUACGGGCAAGCUAGAGUGCGGUAGGGGAGAUUGGAAUUCCUGGUGUAGCGGUGGAAUGCGCAGAUAUCAGGAGGAACACCAAUGGCGAAGGCAGGUCUCUGGGCAGUUACUGACGCUGAGGAGCGAAAGCAUGGGUAGCGAACAGGAUUAGA